GAUGAACGCUGGCGGCGUGCCUAAUACAUGCAAGUCGAGCGAAGCGGGGACGGGUGAGUAACACGUGGCUAACCUCAUAUAAGACUGGGAUAACUUCGGGAAACCGUAGAUCAACCCGAUACUUAUAGAUGGAUCCUCGCUGCAUUAGCUAGUUGGUAAGGUAACGGCUUACCAAGGCAACGAUCCAUAGCCGACCUGAGAGGGUGAUCGGCCAAACUGGAACGGAGACACGGUCCAGACUCCUACGGGAGGCAGCAGUAGGGAAUCUUCCGCAAUGGGCGAAAGCCUGACAGAGCAACGCCGCGUGAGUGAUGAAGGUCUUCGGAUCGUAAAGCUCUUUUAUUAGGGAAGCGUUACCUAAUCAGAAAGCCACGGCUAACUACGUGCCAGCAGCCGCGGUAAUUC
rnacentral:rRNA from 1 species